AGUAGAAAGUAUACUGACAGUUCUAAAUGUGCCGAAUAGAUGACUACAGUUUAAAAUGAGUAUUUAAAACUACCGGUACUUUAAAGUACCGUCGGGACAUAAAGGGAUGAUGCAACGAGGGGAUGUAAAAGGUGUAAAAUUUGCAUAUUGGGUUAAAAUAUGAUACAUAACUAUUAGAAUUGGAUACUCCAAGCAGUGAAAAGGUCUAUUUAAGAAUGUAUCUUUAAACAUUUCAAAAUUGUACCAAUAACUUCUUCAACAUCAUGAUUUAAAUUAAUUAAUAAAUGGGUUAAUGAUAAAAGGAGACAAAAAAAAAAUGAUUUGAUGACUCUCAAUACUAGAUUGUAUUGACAAUUUCUUCUCGCGUUUCAAGAUUAAGACCAUCUGGCCUCUCCGAUAUUCUUACACUUGGAAGAAACCACUUUCCAAAAAAAAAACUACUUUCACAUUCAUUAAUGAAAAUUGAAAACAUAUUUGUAAGGUAUUACAUAAAAGUAUGAGCUUAAAGAACUCAACUGACCUGUUAGUUACAGCAAAUACAUAUUACAGAAGAAAUACUCGAAAUCUUAUGGACGUUUUUCCAUAAAAAGAGGAAAAUCGACGAAGAUAUGUUAAAAUUUGUUUAAAAAUAGCGUAUAAAGCGUGCACCAAAAUGGAAGGGAAAUCUUUCUACAUCAGAUAUUGGAGAAUACACAACCUCGACACAUUCGCAAUCAGUAGAUCUCGAAGUUCACGACUUUCUGUGCCUCUAUGAGAGGCAAAGCAAAAUGUAGACAACUUUAAAUUACACCAUCUAUUGAGAUAACUCGAGGAAUCGAGAAUGCAUUUUGGCUGUAAUUUUAGCAAGUUAUAAAGCGCCAAGCAUACUCAUUGUGCGAAACAUCGUGGAUAGAUUGAUAUUAUUCUCUGCAAAUCGUUUUUAGAUAACAUAAUCAACGCUCAAUGUUUACACAUCAUCGGUGUAAAUGAGAACGAGAGAAAGGAUUAAGGAGAUUGUGAAUCUAUUUUAUGGCGCUGAGAAGAAAUGGUGAUAGAAACAGUGACUUGUUGCAUUAAGAAGAGGAUACUUUAAUUAAUAAAGAAAAAUAUAUAUAGAUUUAUUACAUCUAGUGGUUGGUUCAUGAAACACUGGAAAAGUGAUACUAUAACAUUUGAAACAUUUAAACAUCAACGAUUAAGAAGAUUGUGAAGUUAUUUUAUGGCGCUGGGAAGAAAUAUUGGAUCCCAGAGAAGUCCUAACAGCGUUUUUAGGUAUAGUAGCCAAGUUAUAUUUACAAUUUUUGCUUUUAUUGGUUAUCCAAAUCUACCAUAAAGCAGAGAAAACAAAUUGACGUUAAUUUGAUGACGUUUGAAUCGCAAUUCUAACACAUCUACGUAACAGUAUCUUUUAAUUGAAUAAACGUUUCGGUAAUUCACGUUUAAUUUAAAUCAUCUAUCGUUCACGUUAAUUUCGUUUCUCGCUCCAUUUUUUUUAUUGGACCAAUCUUAAUUCGUCGUCAAUUGGCCGAAACGAUGACAGAGAUUAUUUUUGAUAUACAGAGAUCACCAAAAGUCUUUAUCAACUGAAAUUUUUUUUAUCGCGACUAUGAAGGAAUUACUUAGAAAAUGUGUUAAGGUAGAUUUGUAAUCUAAAAAAAAUACGCGUAAAUUCGGCGUCUAUAAAUAAAUAAAAAAAUUGAAUGGAUUAAAAAUAAACUUUUAUGAGUAAUCCAGAUAACAAUUACAAUAAUUCUAAUAAAAGUACGUCGAGUAAGAAUUGUUCUUCUUAAGACACUUACAAAGUUUUAACACAAAUUAAUAAUCGAACAAAAACAAAUUAUUACAAAUUUCUCUUCCCCUCGAUUUUUAUUGCAUCACGCAAACUUGGCGGUACCCAAGGCCAACUUACGUUCUAAUUAUGUAGAGAGAGAGACCAUCGAUAUAAUAAACCGUCUUAUUAUGUAGCAUUUUUGUUAAAUAAGACUUGAUUCGAGUCGCUUCGAGACACACGUCAUUUUUUUUCCUUUUUCGAUCGUAAUUUUAUUUUUUUUUAAAUUCCUUUUAAGUCGCAUUCUUGCGUAACCCGCGAGACACGUAGCGGCGGUUUCUCUCUCGCCUGAAACGGGGGCCCGCAACAAUCACGUGACUACCUACGUCACGGACACGCCUCCGUGGAAUUUCUGAGUUCGCCAAGCGAUUUACGACGUACUAAAAACGACCAUACAUGAUAUACGAGUAGAUUGAAGAUGAUAUUAAAUUAUAAACGAUAUUCUUUUCUUUAUUGUGUAACAUUUUUAACGUUAACUUAGCUCGCGAUAAUAAUAUCCGGUGUGCGCGAUAAAAAGGAACAAAACGUUUUCAGUAAAGAUUAAGAACUUGUAAACAAUUCGCUAAUAUCAACAAACUCCCACGUAAUACUCCAAACGUAUACAAACUUUAAUCGCAAAAUUUGGUUUCGAUUUCAUUUACUUUGAGAUGACGCUUGAAUUCAUUAUUUUAUUAAAAAGAACCCUUGGCAACGCUUGUUAUAAAUUAUCAUCGAUGAUAACACGAUAAACAUGAAGAUAAAGUAAAGCUCGUGUAAAUAAUUAAUGAAUGGAAGCGUUCAUGUAAAAGAGGGUUUUAAUUAAGCUAUAUAGAAACAUUUUUGCUUAAAAUUCUUCAAAAGUUCAAUAAAAAUAUACAACAAUUUAGCGCUGAACAACGGGUUCAGCCGUGCGUCUUAAUAAGAAUCAA